AGUGGGAUAGCUGGGUCAGAUGGUGAUUCCAUUCCAAGUUUUCUAAGGCAAUCUCCAUACUGUUUUCCAAAUUGGUUGCACCAAUUUUGAGUCCCACCAGCAAC
rnacentral:pre_miRNA from 1 species